AUUGAACGCUGGCGGCAUGCUUUACACAUGCAAGUCGAACGGUAACAGGCCGCAAGGUGCUGACGUGUGGCGAACGGGUGAGUAAUGCAUCGGAACGUGCCCAGUCGUGGGGGAUAACGCAGCGAAAGCUGCGCUAAUACCGCAUACGAUCUGUGGAUGAAAGCGGGGGACCGUAAGGCCUCGCGCGAUUGGAGCGGCCGAUGUCAGAUUAGGUAGUUGGUGAGGUAAAGGCUCACCCAGCCGACGAUCUGUAGCUGGUCUGAGAGGACGACCAGCCACACUGGGACUGGGACACGGCCCAGACUCCGACGGGAGGCAGCAGUGGGGAAUUUUGGACAAUGGGGGCAACCCUGAUCCAGCAAUGCCGCGUGCAGGAAGAAGGCCUUCGGGUUGUAAACUGCUUCUGUACGGGACGAAACGGCUCCGGUUAAUACCCGGAGCUAAUGACGGUACCGUAAGAAUAAGCACCGGCUAACUACGUGCCAGCCGCCGCAGUAAUAC
rnacentral:rRNA from 1 species